CGGUGAAUACGUUCCCGGGUCUUGUACACACCGCCCGUCAAACCAUGAAAGUCGGGAGCACCCGAAGUCCUCACUUGUUGAGGCCUAAGGUGAGCUCGGUGAUUGGGGUU
rnacentral:rRNA from 1 species